rnacentral:rRNA from 1 species
CGCUGAGUUUGAUCCUGGCUCAGAUUGAACGCUGGCGGCAUGCCUUACACAUGCAAGUCGAACGGUAACGGGUUAAGCCGACGAGUGGCGAACGGGUGAGUAAUAUAUCGGAACGUGCCCAGUCGUGGGGGAUAACGUAGAGAAAUUUACGCUAAUACCGCAUACGAUCUAAGGAUGAAAGCGGGGGACCUUCGGGCCUCGCGCGAUUGGAGCGGCUGAUAUCAGAUUAGGUUGUUGGUGAGGUAAAGGCUCACCAAGCCAACGAUCUGUAGCUGGUCUGAGAGGACGACCAGCCACACUGGAACUGAGACACGGUCCAGACUCCUACGGGAGCAGCAGUGGGGAAUAUUGCACAAUGGGCGAAAGCCUGAUGCAGCAA